rnacentral:rRNA from 1 species
CGUAGGUGGUCCGAUAAGUCGGAGGUGAAAUCCCUCGGCUCAACCGAGGACCCGCGUCCGAUACUGUCGGACUUGAGUGCAGGAGAGGAGAGCGGAAUUCCCAGUGUAGCGGUGAAAUGCGUAGAUAUUGGGAGGAACACCGGUGGCGAAGGCGGCUCUCUGGACUGCUACUGACACUGAGGCGCGAAAGCUAGGGGAGCAAACG